AUAACGGUCCUAAGGUAGCGAAAUUCCUUGUCAGGUAAGUUCUGACCCGCACGAAUGGCGUAAUGAUUUGGGCACUGUCUCAACAGCCCGCCCGGCGAAAUUGUAGUACUGGUGAAGAUGCCAGUUACCCGCAACUAGACGGAAAGACCCCAUGGAGCUUUACUGUAGCCUAAUACUGAAGAUCGGUAAUGCAUGUACAGGAUAGGUGGGAGCCAGCGAAACCCGGGCGUCAGCUCGGAUGGAGGCAACCUUGGAAUACCACCCUUGUAUUGCUGGUUUUCUAACCUGCGGCCAUGAAUCUGGUCGGGGGACACUGUUAGGUGGGCAGUUUGACUGGGGCGGUCGCCUCCAAAAGCGUAACGGAGGCGCUCAAAGGUUGGCUCAGCACGGACGGAAAUCGUGCAUAGAGUGCAAACGCAUAAGCCAACUUGACUGCGAGACCGACGGGUCGAGCAGGUACGAAAGUAGGAGUUAGUGAUCCGGUGGUAUGUGAGUGGAAAUGCCAUCGCUCAACGGAUAAAAGCUACCCUGGGGAUAACAGGCUGAUCUCCCCCAAGCGUCCACAGCGACGGGGAGGUUUGGCACCUCGAUGUCGGCUCGUCACAUCCUGGGGCUGUAUUCGGUCCCAAGGGUUCGGCUGUUCGCCGAUUAAAGUGGCACGCGAGCUGGGUUCAGAACGUCGUGAGACAGUUCGGUCCCUAUCUGUUGCGGGCGCAGGAGAUUUGAAGGGAGCUGUCCUUAGUACGAGAGGACCGGGAUGGACAGACCUCUGGUGCACCAGUUGUCGUGCCAACGGCACAGCUGGGUAGCUACGUCUGGACGAGAUAAACGCUGAAAGCAUCUAAGUGUGAAACUCCCCCUAAGAUAAGAUCUCCCAUCCAUUAGGAGUAAGGGACGACAAAGACUAUGUCGUUGAUAGGUCGGAAGUGUAAGUGCAGUAAUGCAUUGAGCUGACCGAUACUAAUAACCCGAGGGCUUGACCU
rnacentral:rRNA from 1 species